UCGGGUGUGGUGUACGGUGCACCGCGGGUAUACUUAAGAGGACGAUAAACUUUGUUUAGCCCGCAGGCUGGGGUUCGAUUCCCCGCGCCCGAA